UUGUUAUAGUAUUUCUUAAUUUUAUGAAGAGUGGGUGGCAGUUGUGAGUCCUUGCAUAUUGAAGAAUGCCUUUAUUUUGUCCUAACAUUUGAUUGUUAGUUUUUUUGGGAAUUGAAUUCUGGCUUCAACAUCUUUUCCUCGCAGAACUUGGAUGUCAUUGUCCCAUUGGCUGUGGCGCCCAGAAUUCCUCCAGGAGCAGAUAGUAAGAGAAGAGUGACUCAUGUCAGUCUAAUUUUUGUUCCUGUGUAGACACUGUUUUGAAGUUCAGAGAGUUUUCUUUAUACUUGGGAGUUAGAAAGUUUUACUUUCCAUGUGUGUCUCUUAAGUACAACAUUUUUUUCAUUCAUUGUUUUAGUCUCUACGUGGGCUCUUUUGGGUUACAGGCUUAGGUCUGUCUUUAGCUCAGAAAAAUUUCCUUUUUUCACUUUUUGUCGUCUGGAUUCUCCAGCAUUGUCUUUGGAGCUUCUACUACUCAGGUGUUUGAACUCCCUAAUCUCUUUUCUUUGCCCCUUUAUUUUCAUAUUGGCUAUUUUCUAUCUCUUGUUAAUAUAUUUUGGAGAUUUUCUCUCCUUUUUUGCCAUAUUAGUAACUUGGUUUUAUAAUUUGGUUUGGUCACUUAAUGUUUUAUUUGGCAAUUAUAUUUCUAAUUUGCAAAAACUUACUCUCUCCCUUUUUCCCCUAGAACCUUAUUUACUUCUUUAUUUUUAAGAGUGGGGGAGGGGCAGAGGGAGAGAGAGAAUGUAUUAAGAAGGCUCCACGCCCAGUGCUGAGCCUGGAUGGUGGGCUUGAUCUCAUUGACACUGAGAUCAUGACCUGAGCCAAAAUCAAGACUCGGACGCUUAACUGACUGGGCCACCCAGGCGCCCCAGACGUUUAUUUUUUAAAACAGAUUUAUUGAGGUUUAAUUUGCCUACCAUAAAAUCUCCUUGGUUUAGGUGUAUAAUUGUGUGCUUUUUGUACAUUUAGAGUUGCAUCUAUCAUCACAGUGUCAUUUUAGAACAUUUCCAUCACCUCAGAAAGAACCCUUGUACCUGUGAGCAGUCACUUUGCCAGCCUCAGUCAACCACUGGUUUACUCUUUGUCCCCAUGAACUUGCCUUUUCUGGACAUCUCCUAGAAAUGUGUCUGGCUUCUUUCACUUGGCAUAUUAUUUUUUAGGUUGAUCUAUGCUGUAGUACAUUACAUCUGUUCUAGCAUUUGUGGAAAACACUGUAAUUUUGCUCUGAAUUAGCGUAGAAUUUUGUUGGAAAUCUGUUGAGCAACCUGUCGUUCAGGUCUCUGUAGGGCGCUGCAUUCUGUUACACUGGCCUGUGUGUCUGUCCUCCAGCCUGUGUCAGAGUCUCUGGACUGUUGUUAGGUAGUAAGUCUCGAAAUUACAUAGUAUAAGUCCUUCAACUUUGUUUUCCCUUUUGAAGAUUGUUUUUGCUUUUUGAGGUCUUUUCAAGUCAGUUUGAGGGUUUCCAAAAAAAGCCUGCUGUGAUUUUGAGUGGAGUUACAGUGAAUUUGUAGACUGAUUUGAGGAGAAUGAACGUUCUUAACAGUAUUGAGUCUUCUGUUCUGUGAACAUGGCAUACGUCUCCAUUUUUUUAUGUCUUUUUACAUUUUAGCAAAGUUUGUUGCUUCCUUUGUGUAGGUCUUACACCUGUUUUAUUGAAUGUAUCCAUCAGUAUUUCAUGUUUUUUAAACACAUUUUAUUUAAAUCCACGUUUGUUAGCAUAUAAUGUAUAACAGUGGUUUCAAGAGUAGAAUUUAGUGAUUCAUCACUUACAGGUAAUACCCGGUGCUCAUCCCAACUAGUGCUCUCCUCAGUACCCAUAACCGAUUUUAGCCCAUCUUUCCACCCAACACCCCACCAGCAACUCUCAGUUUCUUCUCUGCAUUUAAGAGUCUUUUAUGGUUUGCCUCCCUCUCUGUUUUUAUCUUAUUUUCCCUUCCCUUCCCCUAUGUUCAUUUGUUUGGUUUCUUAAAUUCCACACGAGUGAAAUUAGGUAUUUAUCUUUCUCUGACUUACUGUGCUUAGCGUAAUACACUCUAGUUCCAUCCACAUUGUUGCAAAUGGAAAGAUUUCAUUAUUUAAAAAAAAAUUUUUUUAAAUGUUUAUUUUUGAGAGACAGCAUGAGUGGGGGAGGGGUAGAGAGAGAAGGAGACACAGAAUCCGAAACAGACUCCAGGCUCUGAGCUGUCAGCAUGGAGCUCAACACGGGGCUUGAACCCAUGAACUGUGAGAUCAUGACCUGAGCUAAAGUCGGAAAUUUAAUCCACUGAGCCACCCAGGUGCCCCAAGAUUUCAUUCUUUUUGAUCACUGAGUAAUAUUCCACUGUGUGUAUGUAUAUAUACACAUAUACAUACAUAUGUGUAUAUAUAUAUAUAUAUAUACACAUACAUGUAUACACACACACCUUAUACAUACACACACAUAUAUAUACUAUAUAUAUACACACCACAUCUUCCUUAUCCAUUUAUCAGUCAAUGGAUAUUUGGGCUCUUUCCAUAGUUUGGCUAUUCUUGAUAGUGCUGCUAUAAAGAUUGGGGUGCAUGUGCCCUUUUGAAUCAGUACUUUUGUAUCCUUGGGAUAAAUACCUAGUAGUGCAAUUGCUGAGUCAUAGGGUAGCUUUAUUUUUAAUUUUUUGAGGAACCUCCAUACUGUUUCCAGAGUGGCUACACCAGUUUCCAUUCUCACCAGCAGUGCAAAAGUGUUCCCCUUUCUACUUAUCCUUGCCCACAUCUGUUGUUGCCUGAGUUGUUAAUGUUAGCCAUUCUCACAGGUGUAAGGUGGUGUCUCAUUGUGGUUUUCAUUUGUAUUUCCCUGAUGAUGAGUGAUAUUGGGCAUCUUUUCAUGUGUCUGUUAGCCAUCUUGGUGUUGUCUUUUGAGAAGUGUCUGUUCAUGUCUCUUGCCCAUUUCUUCACCUGAAGAAGUAUGUUUUUGGGGUGUUGAGUUUGAUAAGUUCUUUAUGGAUUUUGGAUACUAACUCUUUAACCUACAUUGUCAUUUGUAAAUAUCUUCUCGCAUUCUGUUGGUUACCUUUUAGUUUUGCUGAUUGUUUCCUUCACUGUGCAGAAGCUUUUUAUCUUGAUGAAGUCCUAGUAGUUGAUUUUUGCUUUUGUAUCCCUUGCCUCUGGAGACAUGUUUAGUAAGAAGUUGCUGUGGCAUGGGUCAAAGUGAUCAUUUUUGAAAAUGUUGUCAUAAUUUAAAUCAUAAAAAUUUUAUUUUCCAAUUAUUCUUGCUUAUGUAUAUGUAUAGAAAUAAAAUAUUUUUUUGUAUUUUGUAUUGUGCAGUCUGGCUAAACUGAGUUAACUUUUUUUUUUUUUUUUAAAUUUUUUUUAACAUUUAUUUUCGAGACAGGGAGAGACAGAGCAUGAACAGGGGAGGGUCAGAGAGAGGGAGACACAGAAUGUGAAGCAGGCUCCAGGCUCUGAGCUGUCAGCACAGAGCCUGACGCGGGGCUAGAACUCACGGACCGCAAGAUCAUGACCUGAGCUGAAGUCGGCCGCCUAACCGACUGAGCCACCCAGGCGCCCCUGAGUUAACUUUUUGUACAUUUUCUAUAGUAUUUUCUGCAUACACAGCGGUCUGCAAAUAAACACAAUUUUUGAUUUGUGCACCUUUAUUUUAUUUUUCUUGUUACAUUGGCUGUGAUCUGCAGUACAGUGUUGCAUACAAGUGGUGUAGUGAUUUCUUCUUGGUUUCACCUUUCUGAAUCCGGAUAGCGGUUGCUGUACUCUGUUCUUGAACUCUUAGCUCCAGGGGCUCUUGGUGGGUCAGUUCUGUGUUUCUCUGGUUGUCUUCCUGGAGGUUCUUUCUCUAACUUAUUCCUUUAGUCCUUCUAGUAACUUUGUAAGCAUCCAGUUCCUCAUUAAAUUCCUUCUCCUUAAAACACCUAAUCUGUUUCUGCUCUGAACUUUGACUGAUACACUUUAAUUUACCAUAUGGAUCAUUCUUAGGGCUCUUGGGAGACUAUUUCUUUAUGGGUAGAGUAAUAAUUAACAUUAGGGUAACAAAAAUGUGUUCUGGCCAGUGUCCUUUUUAAUGGUUCCCUCGUGAUCUGAUGAUACCACUUUUGAGUGGACUACAUAGAAGCAUUUUCUCUCUCCAGAAUGGGAAGACAGCCUUAUGAUGAAGAUGAUGUGGUUAUAUUAUCUCAGAGUGGUUUAAAUAAAUUACAGUGGCCCUGCCAUUUAAUUAAGCUGCUUCUUUCAGCCCCUUGGUGCU